rnacentral:rRNA from 1 species
UACGGGGGGGGCAAGCGUUGUUCGGAAUUACUGGGCGUAAAGGGCGCGUAGGCGGCCCCUCUUGUCGCGUGUGAAAGCCCCGGGCUCAACCUGGGAACGGCGCGCGAGACGGGGGGGCUGGAGUCCGGAAGAGGCGAGUGGAAUUCCUGGUGUAGCGGUGGAAUGCGCAGAUAUCAGGAGGAACACCGAUGGCGAAGGCAGCUCGCUGGGACGGUACUGACGCUGAGGCGCGAAAGCGUGGGGAGCGAACAGG